rnacentral:SRP_RNA from 1 species
CGUCAGGGCAUGAAGGAAGCAGCAUUCA